rnacentral:rRNA from 1 species
ACGAACGCUGGCGGCGUGCCUAAUACAUGCAAGUCGAACGCUUCUUUUUCCACCGGAGCUUGCUCCACCGGAAAAAGAGGAGUGGCGAACGGGUGAGUAACACGUGGGUAACCUGCCCAUCAGAAGGGGAUAACACUUGGAAACAGGUGCUAAUACCGUAUAACAAUCGAAACCGCAUGGUUUUGAUUUGAAAGGCGCUUUCGGGUGUCGCUGAUGGAUGGACCCGCGGUGCAUAGCUAGUUGGUGAGGUAACGGCUCACCAAGGCGACGAUGCAUAGCCGACCUGAGAGGGUGAUCGGCCACAUUGGGACUGAGACACGGCCCAAACUCCUACGGGAGGCAGCAGUAGGGAAUCUUCGGCAAUGGACGAAAGUCUGACCGAGCAACGCCGCGUGAGUGAAGAAGGUUUUCGGAUCGUAAAACUCUGUUGUUAGAGAAGAACAAGGAUGAGAGUAACUGUUCAUCCCUUGACGGUAUCUAACCAGAAAGCCACGGCUAACUACGUGCCAGCAGCCGCGGUAAUACGUAGGUGGCAAGCGUUGUCCGGAUUUAUUGGGCGUAAAGCGAGCGCAGGCGGUUUCUUAAGUCUGAUGUGAAAGCCCCCGGCUCAACCGGGGAGGGUCAUUGGAAACUGGGAGACUUGAGUGCAGAAGAGGAGAGUGGAAUUCCAUGUGUAGCGGUGAAAUGCGUAGAUAUAUGGAGGAACACCAGUGGCGAAGGCGGCUCUCUGGUCUGUAACUGACGCUGAGGCUCGAAAGCGUGGGGAGCAAACAGGAUUAGAUACCCUGGUAGUCCACGCCGUAAACGAUGAGUGCUAAGUGUUGGAGGGUUUCCGCCCUUCAGUGCUGCAGCUAACGCAUUAAGCACUCCGCCUGGGGAGUACGACCGCAAGGUUGAAACUCAAAGGAAUUGACGGGGGCCCGCACAAGCGGUGGAGCAUGUGGUUUAAUUCGACGCAACGCGAAGAACCUUACCAAGUCUUGACAUCCCCCUGACGAGCAUGUAAUGAUGCUUUUCCUUCGGGACAGGGGAGACAGGUGGUGCAUGGUUGUCGUCAGCUCGUGUCGUGAGAUGUUGGGUUAAGUCCCGCAACGAGCGCAACCCUUAUUGUUAGUUGCCAUCAUUUAGUUGGGCACUCUAGCAAGACUGCCGGUGACAAACCGGAGGAAGGUGGGGAUGACGUCAAAUCAUCAUGCCCCUUAUGACCUGGGCUACACACGUGCUACAAUGGGAAGUACAACGAGUCGCAAAGUCGCGAGGCUAAGCUAAUCUCUUAAAGCUUCUCUCAGUUCGGAUUGUAGGCUGCAACUCGCCUACAUGAAGCCGGAAUCGCUAGUAAUCGCGGAUCAGCACGCCGCGGUGAAUACGUUCCCGGGCCUUGUACACACCGCCCGUCACACCACGAGAGUUUGUAACACCCGAAGUCGGUGAGGUAACCUUUUGGAGCCAGCCGCCUAAGGUGGGAUAGAUGAUUGGGGUG